CCUUGGGAGUCAGGACUUGUUUCGCUUCAGAAUUGUUGAUUAAAGGGAAUUUAGUGCCCUUCAUGUUGGGAAAGCAGAGGGAAUGGCUAAAGACAAGAUGGGAAGUCCAAGAGACACUUGUUUGGCCCUUUGUAGCCAGGCGGGCUUGUGCAGUUGAAGGGGCUGAGGUGACAGAAUGAGACCAUGAAGAGGAAGCCAAUCAGGACCAGCCCACCAACGGAGUGAAGACAAGGAGGAAGAAGUCUGUACUAAAUUCUGAACGAGGCUGGAUUUGCGUUUUCUUUGCAUAUUACCAAAAAACUUUGCCAGGGCUUGAAUAGUUAUUGUCUCUGGGGCUGACAUGCCCAUCACCCAGAGCUUGACUCUACAGUAGGACUGUACUGUAGGGAAGAAGUGACUCAAAUGGAACCAAGUUGGAACCAAGAAGAGACCCGAUGGACCGCUCUGCUCUGGAGAACCUGUCCCACGUGUGAUGAGUGGCUGGUAGCACCAGCCUUGCCACAUAGAACUAUCCCCAGAAUGGACCCCAGGGAGCAUACCUCUCCUCCAGGGCUCUAGGUUCUCCUCCUAUGGAGAAGAAAACUCUGGGUACCAGGCAUUUCCCUCUAUCACCUUCUCCUCUGGCUGCCAAGAGAAAAUUGAGUGCUAACCACACACCUAUUUGGCCAAGCUCAUAGUGACUAUUUAAGCAGGCACCAUACUGACAAGGAAAACCCAGCUGAAAGAUAUAAAACUAUCUGCCCUAAUGCUGCAUAUUGGUUGAUUGUCAGAGUCUUGCAGUUUUAAUAAAAUGAGAAUCCUGCACAUGA